ensembl:lncRNA
AUGCUGCAACAGUAGUUUUUCACAGUUCUGAGGAAAUUGUCCAAAAAGACUUAAGUACGUGGCUUCCUGCAGUGGAGCUUUGGAUUAUGACGCUUAUAUCCCUCCAUUACAUUACCUGGACAGAGAUAUCAGAGAUACGGUUUAAUGCGAAUCAUAGUAUCACAGAAUAUCCCGAGUUGGAAGGGACCCUCAAGGACUGAGUACUGCUGCUGGAUCCACACAGGACCAUCCAAAAAUCAGGCCAUAUGACUGAGAGCGUUGUCCAAACACACCUUGAAGUCUGGCAGCCUGGUGCUGUGCCCACCUCUCUGGGCAGCCCGUUCCAUGCUCACCGCCCUCUGGUGCAGCCCCUGUCCCUGACCCCCAGCUGCCCCUCCCCUGACACAGCUCCAUGCCGUUCCCUCGGGCCCUGUCACUGUCACAGAGAGCAGAGCUCAGCGCUGCCCCUCCGCUCCCUGUGAGGAGCUGCAGCCGCCAUGAGGCCUCCCCUCAGCUCCUCUGCUCUGGGCUGAGGAAACCCAGGGGCCUCAGCUGCUCUUCGUAAGUCUUGCCCUCCACGCCCUUUGUAGGCCUCCUUUGGGCACUCUGUAGUAGUUUUAUGUCCGUUUCAUACUGUGACUCCCCACACUAACAGCAACUGAGAAAACACUAACAUUUAGCAAGAUGAUUGCUAGUGUUUCUAUUCUCCGCCUCCACUGUCAGCAUUGAGCCCGAGCCUUUGGUUUCUAGGAAACAUCAUGUAAUUUCCACCUGCAACAGACAUUACUUCUCAGAUCAAGCAGGAUUUCACAUCAAGUAUUAGCUAAAGCUUAGGAAAACUAAGGCUCCAAAACCACUCCUUCUAAAUGGGGUGGACUUCCUAAGCGGAGUGGGUGGCUUAGCAAAUGCUGCCAGGUUUAGGUUUGUAAAUGCUCUUCCCCAUGCUCUUCCUCCAAUCGGGUAAAUAUGAAAACAAAUGUUCUCUCUCUUUGGCUCUUUAUAUCAGCAGGAAAUAAUUCCUCAGUGAUCUCUUCAAAUUAAUGCCUCACCUUUACCUUGAGUAUCUCACCAGCCUCAUCUUCUCUUGUUUGCAGGAUUUUUGCAAAGAGCUCAUCUGAGGAAGAGGGAAACACCCCCAGAACUUCAAAAAGGGUACACAGGCAUCCUGCAGACGUGGACCCCAGACAACUAACUGCUGAAGCCUCUCACGUACGUGAGGUUCACCUCAAAGUGCUGUUGAAACAAUCACAGGAUCAUAGAAGGCCGGAAAAGACCAGUAAGACCAUGCAGUCCAACUGUCAAUCCACUACCACCAUGCCCACUAACCCACAUCUCUCAGUGUGACAUCUACGUCUUGAAAACCUCCAGGAACAGUGACUCCACCACCUCCGUGGGCACCUUGUUCCAACAUCUCACCACGCUUCCGGAGAAGAAAUUUUUCCUCAUAUCCAACCUGAACUGCUGCAACUUAAAGCCAUUCCCUGUCAUUCUGGAAUGAAUGGAAGAAAAGGCUGACCCCCAC